ACGAACUCCUACGGGAGGCAGCAGUGAGGAAUAUUGGUCAAUGGGACGAGAGCUGAACCAGCCAAGUAGCGUGCAGGAUGACGGCCCUAUGGGUUGUAAACUGCUUUUAUAAGGGAAUAAAGUGAGUCUCGUGAGACUUUUUGCAUGUACCUUAUGAAUAAGGACCGGCUAAUUCCGUGC
rnacentral:rRNA from 1 species